rnacentral:rRNA from 1 species
UACGUAGGGUGCAAGCGUUUAAUCGGAAUUACUGGGCGUAAAGCGUGCGCAGGCGGUGAUGUAAGACAGGUGUGAAAUCCCCGGGCUUUAACCUGGGAACUGCAUUUGUGACUGCAUCGCUGGAGUGCGGCAGAGGGGGAUGGAAUUCCGCGUGUAGCAGUGAAAUGCGUAGAUAUGCGGAGGAACACCGAUGGCGAAGGCAAUCCCCUGGGCCUGCACUGACGCUCAUGCACGAAAGCGUGGGGAGCAAACAGG